GCAUCGAUGAAGAACGCAGCGAAAUGCGAUACGUAAUGCGAAUUGCAGAAUUCAGCGAGUCAUCGAAUCUUUGAACGCACAUUGCGCCCGCCAGUAUUCUGGCGGGCAUGCCUGUCCGAGCGUCAUUU
rnacentral:rRNA from 1 species